rnacentral:lncRNA from 13 species
AUGACAAUGACUGGAUCAAUGGAACAUUCUUUCAAACAAGCUUUAAAGAAACCUCCAUCACUACGGACAGCAGAGGACUUGCACACUAUUUACUGUCACUUCUACCACAUGGAUGUCCUGUCCCACCUCAGGGAGCACCAGCUCAGGUCAGAUUCACCUCCCCGUUCAUCCAUUACUCCGACCACUCGCCCUACUUAAGCUCCAUACACCAGGGCCUGUAUUCAUAAAGCAGCUCGGAGUAGGAGUGCUGAUCUAGGGUCAGGUUGGCCUUUUUAAAAACAUAAUGAAUGAGAUUAGACUAUGCUAUAUGGACAGAGGUGGACCUGAUUCUAGAUCAACACUCCUAUUAUGUGGUUAUGAAUACAGACACAGGAGGUGGAGCUACAACUAGAGUCUGUCAUCCACAUGGCCCUUCCUGUACAAUCUUCUGUACAUACAUAGGACAGAGAUGACUAACACACACUGGAGCCGGUGUGCAGGCCAGGCCAUGCGGCUCUGAGACUGGCCCUGACAUUCACCACAACCAUUCCACAUCACCAACAUUCAGAUAUGAGAGCUGUCAGUCUGGUUGUGAUAAUGUAUGAACUGGUAACGUCUUCUAAUAAUGUAUGAAACUGAUUGUGUCUGAAACUUGUUUUGUUGUUGUGCAGGUC